CCCCGCCUAGCUCAAUCGGAUAGAACGUCAGACUCUUAUACCGACGUACCCUCGCGAUUUAGGAAUCUGAAGGCUGCGAGUUCGACCCUCGCGGUGGGCU